ACAGGUUAAGCUGACGAGUGGCGAACGGGUGAGUAAUAUAUCGGAACGUGCCCAGUCGUGGGGGAUAACGCAGCGAAAGCUGUGCUAAUACCGCAUACGAUCUCUGGAUGAAAGCGGGGGACCUUCGGGCCUCGCGCGAUUGGAGCGGCCGAUAUCAGAUUAGCUAGUUGGCGGGGUAAAGGCCCACCAAGGCGACGAUCUGUAGCUGGUCUGAGAGGACGACCAGCCACACUGGAACUGAGACACGGUCCAGACUCCUACGGGAGGCAGCAGUGGGGAAUUUUGGACAAUGGGCGCAAGCCUGAUCCAGCAAUGCCGCGUGCAGGAUGAAGGCCUUCGGGUUGUAAACUGCUUUUGUACGGAACGAAAAGGUCUGCCCUAAUACGGUGGGCCCAUGACGGUACCGUAAGAAUAAGCACCGGCUAACUACGUGCCAGCAGCCGCGGUAAUACGUAGGGUGCGAGCGUUAAUCGGAAUUACUGGGCGUAAAGCGUGCGCAGGCGGUUAUAUAAGACAGAUGUGAAAUCCCCGGGCUCAACCUGGGACCUGCAUUUGUGACUGUAUAGCUAGAGUACGGUAGAGGGGGGAUGGAAUUCCGCGUGUAGCAGUGAAAUGCGUAGAUAUGCGGAGGAACACCGAUGGCGAAG
rnacentral:rRNA from 1 species